AGCAUGGAAUCUUUGAAUUUUAGUAUACAGACCAAAUUUGACAAAAAUGAACAUCAAUUAAGUAAAUUGAGAGAAAGAAUAGAAAAACUCUCCGAUGACAGCUUUCAUCUUUUUCAAACGAUGACAGAAAUUAGUAAGAGACUGGAGGAGCAUGGAGAGACAGGUAUACGUCUGGAAAAGAGAAGCAAAGACAACAUUGAUCAAAUCAAAAAGGUAGAGGUCACCACUUACUGGGUGGAUAUUUUACUUGUAUUCAUCAUUCUCAUUCUUUUGGUCUACAUCACCAAUAUGACCCAGAGGAACAGAGGAGCUGGAUUCAAACACCACAAAAACUCUCAGUUAGAGAAAAGUCGUUUGCUUUAACCCGUCUUCUUCGGAAGCUGACAGGAAGUUGGCUGACGCAUUUCUGGAUGAUUAUAGUGUCGUAAUAAUUUAUGAUUAUCAAGACAUACCGAGAAUACACUCCAAGGUUGUUUUCCUCUUUGUGGAUUUCAACGAACGUAAUAUCAUCCUUGAGACAUAUACAGAAACUCAGCAAAUUAAAGCAGAAACUGUGGCAGCCAUUAAGAAACUUGGAGGUACACCAGUUGUGAUUUACAGGCUUCAUUCAGACUCCAGAAGUUUAGGGAGCCGUCAGCUUUAUUCGGACAAACUAGCCUCAAUAGAAAACCAUCCUAUUUUGAGAGAGCUUGUGGAAAAAGAAUGUGUUCUUAGUAUUGACAAAGAAUUUACGGAAUAUCAACGAAAGCAUCUCAAAAAACUGUAUGAAAAUAAUCUGUAAUAUUUUGCAACACAUCGAUGCUUCAACAGUUAAACACACAAAUGACAAAAUACGCACAGUAUAUACGAAAUUGAACGAUCAUUAAUUUAGAUAUCAUUGUUAUACCAUGAUAUUUUGAUAUAUUCUAUC